UCCGGUGGUAUGGGAUAGAUCCGCGUCUGAUUAGCCAGUUGGCGGGGUAGAGGCCCACCAAAGCGACGAUCAGUAGCCGACCUGAGAGGGUGACCGGCCACAUUGGGACUGAGACACGGCCCAAACUCCUACGGGAGGCAGCAGUGGGGAAUAUUGCACAAUGGGGGAAACCCUGAUGCAGCGACGCCGCGUGAGCGAAGAAGUAUUUCGGUAUGUAAACUUCUAUCAGCAGGGAAGAAAGUGACGGUACCUGACUAAGAAGCCCCGGCUAACUAC
rnacentral:rRNA from 1 species